rnacentral:rRNA from 1 species
UACAGAGGUCUCAAGCGUUGUUCGGAUUCAUUGGGCGUAAAGGGGGCGUAGGUGGCGCCGUAAGUCGGGUGUGAAAUUUCGGAGCUUAACUCCGAAACUGCAUUCGAUACUGCGGUGCUUGAGGACUGGAGAGGAGACUGGAGUUCAUGGUGUAGCAGUGAAAUGCGUAGAGAUCAUGAGGAAGACCAGUGGCGAAGGCGGGUCUCUGGACAGUUCCUGACACUGAGGAGCGAAAGUGUGGGGAGCGAACAGG